AAUAAAAAGGAAAGCAAGAAAAUGAAAGGACAUCAAAUCAGAACUACAAUAUAAUGAGUUGGAACUAUGUUAUACCUCUACAUUAACACUUGUAUAAAUUUUAACCACAAUGUCUGACUUUUACAUAUAAAACUCUAGCAACAUAGGCACAUCAUUUUUUAUGUCGCCUUGAGAACAGUAGAUAUAGAUCAGAAGAUAAAGCAUGAAUUUCACUAUACUGUACGUUCAUAAGAGAAAGAGAUUGAGAGCUGCAGCCAACCAAAGUAUAUCCCAUAUACGACUUGAAAAUGAGACCAGAAAAUGCAGAGCGCUUGUCAAACACCUCUGGCGCUGCCAUAUUUUUUAAAAUGGUGAAAAACAGCUGGCCUGGAGGGAAGUAAUUACUCUUAUGAUGUGAGGAAACCACUUCAUUUCCAUGGGGACAUUGUUCUCAUUCCUUGUGCCCUGCCAUGGUUGACUGUUGAUCCCAUAUGGACAUGGUGAUGUUCAUCAGCGCAUCUCAGCAAACUGGUUAAGAAGUCCCUUGGCUCGGUUUCAAUCAAUAAUCAGCGAAUGUGGUGACCAUGCCAUCACCCCAGCCUUGAACCAGUUCCUGGGGUGUUUGUGUAAGCACUCCAAAGUAAAACCGAAUUGUAUUAACCCCUCUCCAAACUGUAUUAUAGUGUCAGUGUAGAACUGAAUAUUUACUGAAUUCUAGCUUCCAUCAAACCCAAUCAGUCUAUGGAGAGAAAUCAUGGGAGUAGAUCACCAACAACUGAAGGGCUGAAGGUUAUCUACUCCUGAUCUAAGCCACUUAGGAUCUUUAAAAAUGACCAACAAUAUGUUAUUUAGUUCUCGCAGAAACUAUUUGGACAUAAAUCAAUUAGAGAAGGGAUUAAAGGCUUAAUAGGUGGGUGAGGGGGGAAAUAAGAAAACUAAAUCUCACCGUACUUAUGUUUUAUAGAGUGCAACACUUUUUUUGGAAUUUAAAUAUACUUGAAGAAAGAAUUCUUCAUUCCAAACUUGUUUGAAUCAGUAAAAUAUUCUAGCUAUUUUGAGAUCUUAUUUGACUUUUCUGUGGCCACCUGGGCUUUCCUUCUUUGUGCUAUUCCUGUUCAGGGAUUCAUGUCAUUACUUGAAUGGUUUAAAUUCAUGCUUGUCAGGGAGCUCUGUAUUAUAAACAAAGCAGAAGUUAGCAUGGCUACAAAUUCAUUUUCUAUUUUUAUGCAUCCCGGGAGAAAUGUAUUUUAACAUCUCCUUGUUCCUUUUCUGCAUUUUAUUUUCUCUUGGGGGAAAUGCCAACCAAUUACAUAUAGGAUUGUGCAUGUCUUCUAAUUACAUCAGAAUAGAACUGGGAAAAGCUUACAAGCAAAUCAGACCAAACAAGGAAUACAAUGCAAUCUGUGGAUGGCAAAGGCUUUCAUGAAAUUAGCAAUGGCUGCCAGAAUACCAGAUUAACACUCCCUUCUGAAAAUGCACUUCACAAUAAAGCAACUAGCUGAAACUAAUUGGAUACAUUAUAUAGUGUUUGCAUUGUGACAGUGAGCUCCUGAGUAUCUGCUUUCAGCAUUUCAGGGGUAUUAUUUUCUGCAUGCUGAGUUUAAAUUUUCAGAUAUUCCUUCGUGAAGACACCUCUUCGAAAGCUCCAAACCUCCCUCUGAGACUAGAACAACAGUGCAUUAUGAUAAUUACCUAGAUGUGACUGUCUGGAUCCCAAAAAUUAAUCUCUGAAGAAAUUGUAUAUUUUAUAUUUGUGUAGAUUGUUGCUUAGGAUUGUUGCUGGGAUGUUUUUUGUUAUUUUGGCUCAUUAAAGAAAACACUUAUUUUGGAAUUACAUCUCACUCACAAGCAAUUGACACUGAGAUCAGUUUUUGCUAUUAACUAUCGGCUUUAUCUCCAUCCCACUCACUUGUAUCUACCCACUCAAAAUGUGUAUGUUUGGUAUUUUGUAUUCUUUAGAGAAACAAUGAAUAAUUAGCCCACUAAUUUUUGCUGAUAAUACCGAUGAUGUCUGUUCUGGGAUUUACCUGAGUAUAUGAGAGAAGAAUUUUGUAUUUCUGUUGGAUCUCAAUAUUUAUCUUUCUCAAAUUUCAUAUCUCAACCUUCCCUCCACCCCCACAAGUUCCUGGGCUUUAUUCUUUCUUUUGUCCUAUAGGAGAAAUUGAUGGGCAAGAGCCCUCUACAUGAAGAUGGGUGUGCACUAGCUCAAUCUCUCCACUGUUACUUUUGUUAUUUAACUGAUGUGAAGAGCCUGCCAUCUCUGUGGAUGCUCUUUGCUCAAGCCAGAACAUCAUGAUUUUUGCCUCUUUGUGCCACACACUUACUGAACAGCUUAAAAGGACAUUUGUCAUCCCAGAAAAAGGGCAAAAAAGUGACCAAUAGCUCUUUUCUGUUGAUUGUCCAACCUAGCUCCUGUUGAAAUGAGAGUAAAGCCAUCUUGAAAGCAAAGGCAUUCAAGAAAACUUCCCAGGUAAGUUACCACCUCGACAUGGAGCUUGAGAACAAACAGUUCUUAUACAAUUACCAUCUGCAAACUGCACACGGGAGGCAAGAUGGUUCAGCUCGCUUUUCUGCAGGAUGCCAUGCAAGAUACUGCCAGUGCUCUUUGCUCUUUCUUUGUUCCUUUUGAAGUAAUUAAUUAUCCUUGUGAAAAAGAGAGAAAGAGGGAGCAUGGUUGUGAAUAAGCCAAACAGCAAUGAAAAGGGAGAGGGAGAAAAUGUCUUCUUUCUUUCAAAACUGAAAGGGAAUGUUCUCAGCCCUUUCUGUAUUUUAGUUUCAAUGUUGACAUUAUAUUCAGCUGCAGGUAUGCUUUUCUGAAAGUACUGUGUAAUUUACAGGGAUAAGUCUAGGUACAGAGCUGUUGCACCAAUCAGUUGUGAAAUAUAUUUAAAUUCAGCCAUUAAUGGUACUGCAACUUAUCUUGCCCUGGGCUUGGAAGUUCAAUAUAUCAAUAUAUUGUCUUAUCUGAACUAAAUGUCCCAUACAGACAAAUGUGGGGUAUACAUUUUAAAAAGAAAGAUAUAAAUAGCUGAACAAGUGACUGGGUCUGGGUUAAAUUAUGCAUGAAAAGUGCACAUGAAAAAGACAAUUCAAACAUGUGCAAAACACUGCUUCUGUCAUUGAGUUGUCAGACAACACUUUUUUAAACUAAAAGCAUUAUUGUUUUCAAAAACCUUCAUAUUAUUAGCAUUUUAUAAUCAAAUGGGUGGAUUAUCCAAAGAUGCUUAUCAGCUCCUGGUUUUUCAGACCAUUGUAAAUUAGAUGCAAUGAAAUCUCAGUACUGAAAAAGCUGCUGACAUUUUAUAGAUACCAAUAAAGCACAGGAUCCAUAGGGUCAACUUCAAAGGUUGCAUUUAACAAGAUAGAUUUUGCACCAAAGUAACUGUAUAUACUUGGGCAUGAUGUAACUCUUCAAUCUUUCUAUAUAUUAAGACUCUGUGUCUUAGUAUGGAUUAUUUGGUAGUGAAAUAUUAAUAGAGCACUUUACUUCCACUAUUAUUUUCCCUCUCAGUUACAAACCGCACUGCCAUCUUGCAAUGUCCACAGGUAACAUUGGUCAUAUAAACCACUUUGCCACGAAAUGGCCAAAAAACUCCUCCUUUGAGGCUAGCAGAAUGCCAGCAUUGGCAAACCUGUUCUGUGGUUAUUGUUGGGUUUGCACUAGAAGCAUAGUUUUCUCUUCACCAUUAUUUUGGACCGAAGCUGAGAGAAGGCGGGGGUGCAUGCCCAGGUGCGUGCGCAUGCGUGCAUGCAUGCACACCCCCACUUCCUCUCAGCUUCGGCCUUGGCCCACUCAGCUUCGGCCUGCCGAGCGGGCCCAAACCAAAGCCGAGAGGAG